CCUUCAGUCGAGUUUCAGCCACCAGGGGAGACAGACGUGAGCGCUCCAUAUUUCACUUCGUAUACGCUACGUAAACUUUUCAUUACUAAUUCAAAAAAUUAAAACUAAUUCUCAUUCUUUAUUCUUAAAAAGUUAUAUUCAUCAAUAUAAUUUUGUUACUGGCCACUUUAUAUUAAAAACUAUCACUAGCCGUUUAAGUUUUGCGCAUUCGAAAAGUUUUCGAAUUCCAAACAUUUUUCUGUGACAAUAAGUGAAUGUGACUCGUGCAAGUUUUACCGAUGUUUGUUCUAAUGUAAUAGUGUUUCACAUUCAAAAUAGGUUUGAAAGAAGAACAUGAUUUGCGGCCUUAUAAUCCGUGUAUCGGUGACAACGUAAAUUGGACGUUAUGUCAUAUAUUUAUAAAGCGGAUAUUCACAGCCCUGAUGCCUUAUUAUGAUGAAACGAUGCUGGACCCAUCCCUCAACUUCACGCUAAACGCAUCAGCCCAAUGGAUCAUAGGCAUUGCCCAAGACAUACGAGACCCCGACCUUUACCAAAGGUUCUCGCAGAACAGAAAAGUGGAUUACACGACGCAAGCCAUACUCCUUACAUUUUAUGUGCUUCUGAUAGUCAUUGGAUUGUGUGGCAAUGUUUUGGUCGUUAUUUCUGUAGUAAGAAAACCCGCGAUGCGCACAGCAAGAAACAUGUUCAUCGUCAACCUGGCGGUGUCUGACACCUUGGUGUGCGUGGUCGGUACACCCCUGACAGUACUGGAGUUGCUCACCAAGCAUUGGCCACUGCCUGAUUGGCCAAGUCUAUGUAAGGCGUGUGGGGCCAUGCAAGCUACUUCCAUCUUUGUUUCCACUAUAACUAUCACUGCUAUCGCAUUGGAUCGAUAUCAGUUAAUAGUCUAUCCAACGCAAUGCGGCCUCCAAACCAUGGGAGUCGUGUUCAUCAUGUGUGCUAUUUGGGUAUUCGCCAUCGCCCUAGCCUCCCCCCUCUACUUCUACAGAAACCUCAACAUCCACAAAACAGGGAUAACAGGCAUGGAAUCUCUUAGUUUCUGCAUCGAAGACUGGCCCAUCGCCGAUGGGAGAGGCAUCUACUCGAUCCUGAGUCUUAUCUUCCAAUAUUUACUACCGGUCUCCGUUGUGUUAUUAACACACGUUCAAAUUCACAACAGAAUACAUAGACGGAUGCAAGAUAGGCGUAGAAGUAGAAACAAAACGGCGGCCAUAUUGACAGCUAUAGUCGUGACAUACGUUAUUAGUUGGCUGCCAUUAAAUGUAUUCAAUCUUGUAGCAGACUUCAGCCCGAAGCCGAUUCUGGAUGAGCAACCGUUGACAAUAACAUACGCUGUGUGCCACAUGUUCGGAAUGUCCAGUGCUGUGUCCAACCCACUUUUGUAUGGCUGGUUGAACGACAACUUCAGGAAGGAAUUUGAGGAGAUCUUGUGCUGUAAACGACAUGGUCAGUUGAAUAAAAACACAAGGACCAAAAGUAGAAAGACAGACACUGAGUUGACUGCGCUGCAAAUGGACUCAAUCACGACUAACACGAAGACAACGCAAAUUUUCUGACUAAAGACUUGCUGUAAAUAGCAAGAAACUAGUGUGGAAUUGCAAGUGAUGUAAUUAUAAAUGGACAGUCACAGUCAUGGUGCACCUCGGUGUUCCGUUUUAUUCUUCGAUCGUGGGUUAGAUAGGACCAAGAUAUUAAUCCAUACAGGACUUUACUUUGAUAAUACUUUUUUUUCUCAAAACCUAUUGGUUUUAUAUGCCAGAUGGUUUGAUACAAAAGCAAAACCUCAAAAAUUUAAAUGAUUCAAUUUUAUCCGUGUGCUUACUGAAAAUUAAUCUUCCACUAUUUUUCGUAUAAUGAAAUAAACCAUAUUCUUCAUGACAACGCCACACCAUUAGUAACCCUUCCGACACAGACUGGAAACACACGUUAUAUACUGGAUCACUCUAUUAUAUUAAAAAAAUAAAUUGGUCAAAUAAAAACCAGCCUAUUUAACAUUUUCACAGAAAUAUGCUUUGUCAAUAUAAAAAAAAAUAUUUUUGCUAUCCAUGAUAGACCAGGAACUUUAGAGCUUGAUGAUUAAAACGUUGUUAAAUUAACAUUAAAGUGUUGUUUAUCUAUGUAUUCUUAGAGUCUUGUUAGUCUUGGCUGUCUACUCCGUAAGGAACGUGACGUAUGAUAUAGAAUGUGAAAGUUCAAAUUAUACCCUUUUCAUAUAAGUAGACUGUCAAUUAAAAAAAUAUAUCAUGACAUUUUGUCAAAGACUGCCAGCAUCAUCGAUUUUUAUUUUUUUAGAACAAAUAAUAUUCUAAAUUUAAACAACAAUUUAUUAAAUAGUUCGAUUUUACAUCUUGUUGAUUACUUAAUGGAGAAAUUCGAUUUUUGAAGCAUUACUUUUUCUUUUUUUAACGAUACAGUUAGUGGAAGUUAAGGGCCAGUAUUUAUAUGGAUUUUGUAUAUAGUAAAAAUCUGUACAUAAUACAGUUCUAUGUGUAAUUUAUUCUCAAUGAUAAAAAUGUGUUGGAAAGUUCCUUUGUUACACAUGUAGGUAUUAUUAAAACUUAGCCAGUAAGUUAAUUGUACUUAUAUCGUUAUAUUAAAAAUAUAAUUAAAUUAUAAUAUUGUAUCAUAAGUUUUUAUGAGCCCAAAACGUAUGAUACGAAUAUUUAACACGAACGAAUUAAUUGUAAAUUUUCUAAUGAAAUAAAGUAU